rnacentral:lncRNA from 1 species
AUGCACCUUGAGAUGGGAGAUUAUCCCAUAUUAUUUAGGUGGGUUCAGUCUAAUCAUAUGAGCCCUUAAAAACAGAUUAUUUCUUAACUAGGGUUAGAGAGAUGCAACACUUCUGACUUUGAAGAUGAAGGAGGCCCCAAACCAAGGUCUGCAGGUAGUUUCUAGAAGCUGGGAAUGGCAAGGAAAUGGAUUCCUUCCUAGAGCCUCCAGAAAGCAAUGCAGCCUUGCUGACACCUUGAUUUUAG